rnacentral:rRNA from 1 species
UGCGUAGGUGGUUUCUUAAGUCAGAGGUGAAAGGCUACGGCUCAACCGUAGUAAGCCUUUGAAACUGGGAAACUUGAGUGCAGGAGAGGAGAGUGGAAUUCCUAGUGUAGCGGUGAAAUGCGUAGAUAUUAGGAGGAACACCAGUUGCGAAGGCGGCUCUCUGGACUGUAACUGACACUGAGGCACGAAAGCGUGAGGAGCAAACA